rnacentral:rRNA from 1 species
GACGAACGCUGGCGGCGCGCCUAACACAUGCAAGUCGAACGGAGCUGAGAGGAGCUUGCUUUUCUUAGCUUAGUGGCGAACGGGUGAGUAACGCGUGAGUAACCUGCCCUGGAGUGGGGGACAACAGUUGGAAACGACUGCUAAUACCGCAUAAGCCCACGGAUCCGCAUGGAUCUGCGGGAAAAGGAUUUAUUCGCUCUAGGAUGGACUCGCGUCCAAUUAGCUAGUUGGUGAGGUAACGGCCCACCAAGGCGACGAUUGGUAGCCGGACUGAGAGGUUGAACGGCCACAUUGGGACUGAGACACGGCCCAGACUCCUACGGGAGGCAGCAGUGGGGGAUAUUGCACAAUGGGGGAAACCCUGAUGCAGCGACGCCGCGUGGAGGAAGAAGGUUUUCGGAUUGUAAACUCCUGUCGUUAGGGACGAUAAUGACGGUACCUAACAAGAAAGCACCGGCUAACUACGUGCCAGCAGCCGCGGUAAAACGUAGGGUGCAAGCGUUGUCCGGAAUUACUGGGUGUAAAGGGAGCGCAGGCGGACCGGCAAGUUGGAAGUGAAAACUAUGGGCUCAACCCAUAAAUUGCUUUCAAAACUGCUGGCCUUGAGUAGUGCAGAGGUAGGUGGAAUUCCCGGUGUAGCGGUGGAAUGCGUAGAUAUCGGGAGGAACACCAGUGGCGAAGGCGACCUACUGGGCACCAACUGACGCUGAGGCUCGAAAGCAUGGGUAGCAAACAGGAUUAGAUACCCUGGUAGUCCAUGCCGUAA